rnacentral:rRNA from 1 species
CAGCAGCCGCGGUAAUACGUAGGUGGCAAGCGUUGUCCGGAAUUAUUGGGCGUAAAGCGCGCGCAGGUGGCUUAAUAAGUCUGAUGUGAAAGCCCACGGCUCAACCGUGGAGGGUCAUUGGAAACUGUUAAACUUGAGUGCAGGAGAGAAAAGUGGAAUUCCUAGUGUAGCGGUGGAAUGCGUAGAGAUUAGGAGGAACACCAGUGGCGAAGGCGGCUUUUUGGCCUGUAACUGACACUGAGGCGCGAAAGCGUGGGGAGCAAACAGGAUUAGAUACCCCAGUAGUCCCUGUCUCUUAUAC